rnacentral:misc_RNA from 1 species
GAUGAAGAACGCAGCGAAAUGCGAUACGUAAUGUCAAUUGCAGAAUUCAGUGAAUCAUCGAGUCUUUGAACGCACAUUGCGCCCCCUGGUAUUCCGGGGGGCAUGCCUGUCCGAGCGUCAUUGCUGCCCUCAAGCACGGCUUGUGUGUUGGGCCUCCGUCCUCCUCCCGGGGGACGGGCCCGAAAGGCAGCGGCGGCACCGCGUCCGGUCCUCGAGCGUAUGGGGCUUCGUCACCCGCUCUUGUAGGCCCGGCCGGCGCUUGCCGACACAUCAAUCUUUUUUCCAGGUUGACCUCGGAUCAGGUAGGGAUACCCGCUGAACUUAAGCAUAUCAAUAAGCGGAGGA